rnacentral:rRNA from 1 species
GUCUACGGCCAUGCCACCCUGAACGAGCCCGAUCCCGUCUGAUCUCAGAAGCUAAACGGGAUCGGGCCUGAUUAGUACUUGGAUGGGAGACCACCUAGGAAGACCAGGUGCUGUAGACG